rnacentral:rRNA from 1 species
ACGAACGCUGGCGGCGUGCUUAACACAUGCACGUCGAACGGAAAGGCCCUGCUUUUGUGGGGUGCUCGAGUGGCGAACGGGUGAGUAACACGUGAGUAACCUGCCCUUGACUUUGGGAUAACUUCAGGAAACUGGGGCUAAUACCGGAUAGGAGCUCCUGCUGCAUGUUGGGGGUUGGAAAGUUUCGGCGGUUGGGGAUGGACUCGCGGCUUAUCAGCUUGUUGGUGGGGUAGUGGCUUACCAAGGCUUUGACGGGUAGCCGGCCUGAGAGGGUGACCGGCCACAUUGGGACUGAGAUACGGCCCAGACUCCUACGGGAGGCAGCAGUGGGGAAUAUUGCACAAUGGGCGGAAGCCUGAUGCAGCAACGCCGCGUGCGGGAUGACGGCCUUCGGGUUGUAAACCGCUUUCGCCUGUGACGAAGCGUGAGUGACGGUAAUGGGUAAAGAAGCACCGGCUAACUACGUG